CUAAUACAUGCAAGUCGAGCGAGCGGAACCAACAGAUUUACUUCGGUAAUGACGUUGGGAAAGCGAGCGGCGGAUGGGUGAGUAACACGUGGGGAACCUGCCCCUAAGUCUGGGAUACCAUUUGGAAACAGGUGCUAAUACCGGAUAAUAAAGCAGAUCGCAUGAUCAGCUUUUGAAAGGCGGCGUAAGCUGUCGCUAAGGGAUGGCCCCGCGGUGCAUUAGCUAGUUGGUAAGGUAACGGCUUACCAAGGCGACGAUGCAUAGCCGAGUUGAGAGACUGAUCGGCCACAUUGGGACUGAGACACGGCCCAAACUCCUACGGGAGGCAGCAGUAGGGAAUCUUCCACAAUGGACGCAAGUCUGAUGGAGCAACGCCGCGUGAGUGAAGAAGGUUUUCGGAUCGUAAAGCUCUGUUGUUGGUGAAGAAGGAUAGAGGUAGUAACUGGCCUUUAUUUGACGGUAAUCAACCAGAAAGUCACGGCUAACUACGUGCCAGCAGCCGCGGUAAUACGUA
rnacentral:rRNA from 1 species